rnacentral:tRNA from 9 species
GCCAGAAUAGCUCAGUUGGUAGAGCAACGGUUUUGUAAACCGUAGGUCGUCGGUUCGAUCCCGACUUCUGGCUCCA